UCAUGUAUUGCAGAGAGUUCAUGACCUC
rnacentral:sRNA from 1 species